rnacentral:miRNA from 1 species
UGCAUAGGAAGGUCCUGAUUACC